GCCUGGGUGGCUCAGUGGUUGAGCGCCUGCCUUUGGCUCAGGAUGUGAUCCCAGGCU
rnacentral:tRNA from 1 species